rnacentral:rRNA from 1 species
AGAGUUUGAUCCUGGCUCAGGACGAACGCUGGCGGCGCGCCUAACACAUGCAAGUCGAACGGAGUUAUUUUCUUCACUCCGAGCUUUUUGCCAGUUAGCCGGAGCGACAAUCGGUUUUGCCCAGCAUAAAAAGCAAAACCGAUUUAGGCUCAUAAAGUAAGGCUAACACAGAGGGCAGAGAGUUGGGAGUGAAGAAAAUAACUUAGUGGCGAACGGGUGAGUAACGCGUGAGUAACCUGCCCUGGAGUGGGGGACAACAGUUGGAAACGACUGCUAAUACCGCAUAAGCCCACGAUCCGGCAUCGGAUUGAGGGAAAAGGAUUUAUUCGCUUCAGGAUGGACUCGCGUCCAAUUAGCUAGUUGGUGAGGUAACGGCCCACCAAGGCGACGAUUGGUAGCCGGACUGAGAGGUUGAACGGCCACAUUGGGACUGAGACACGGCCCAGACUCCUACGGGAGGCAGCAGUGGGGGAUAUUGCACAAUGGGGGAAACCCUGAUGCAGCGACGCCGCGUGGAGGAAGAAGGUCUUCGGAUUGUAAACUCCUGUUGUUGAGGAAGAUAAUGACGGUACUCAACAAGGAAGUGACGGCUAACUACGUGCCAGCAGCCGCGGUAAAACGUAGGUCACAAGCGUUGUCCGGAAUUACUGGGUGUAAAGGGAGCGCAGGCGGGAAGACAAGUUGGAAGUGAAAUCUAUGGGCUCAACCCAUAAACUGCUUUCAAAACUGUUUUUCUUGAGUAGUGCAGAGGUAGGCGGAAUUCCCGGUGUAGCGGUGGAAUGCGUAGAUAUCGGGAGGAACACCAGUGGCGAAGGCGGCCUACUGGGCACUAACUGACGCUGAGGCUCGAAAGCAUGGGUAGCAAACAGGAUUAGAUACCCUGGUAGUCCAUGCCGUAAACGAUGAUUACUAGGUGUGGGGGGAUUGACCCCUUCCGUGCCGCAGUUAACACAAUAAGUAAUCCACCUGGGGAGUACGACCGCAAGGUUGAAACUCAAAGGAAUUGACGGGGGCCCGCACAAGCAGUGGAGUAUGUGGUUUAAUUCGA